AAAAGAUAAGCUAAAUAAAGCUAAUGGGUUCAUACCUCAUUUAUAAAGGUAUCAAUCCUUUUCUUUUUA
rnacentral:tRNA from 1 species